rnacentral:misc_RNA from 1 species
GAAAUGCGAUAAGUAAUGUGAAUUGCAGAAUUCAGUGAAUCAUCGAAUCUUUGAACGCACCUUGCGCUCCUUGGUAUUCCUUGGAGCAUGCCUGUUUGAGUAUCAUGAAAUCUUCAAAGUAAAUCUUUUGUUAACUCAAUUGGUUUCUACUUUGGUAUUGGAGGUCUUUGCAGCUUCACACCUGCUCCUCUUUGUUCAUUAGCUGGAUCUCAGUGUUAUGCUUGGUUCCACUCGGCGUGAUAAGUUAUCUAUCGCUGAGGACACUGUAAAAGGUGGCCAAGGUAAAUACAGAUGAACCGCUUCUAAUAGUCCAUUGACUUGGACAAUACUUUUAUGAUCUGAUCUCAAAUCAGGUAGGACUACCCACUGAACUUAAGC